GACGAACGCUGGCGGCGUGCUUAGCACAUGCAAGUCGAACGGUAAGGCCCUUCGGGGUACACGAGUGGCGAACGGGUGAGUAACACGUGGGUGAUCUGCGCUGCACUUCGGGAUAAGCCUGGGAAACUGGGUCUAAUACCGGAUAGGCCUCCGGACUGCAUGGUCUGGGUUGGAAAGCUGUUGCGGUGUGGGAUGGGCCCGCGGCCUAUCAGCUUGUUGGUGGGGUGAUGGCCUACCAAGGCGAAGACGGGUAGCCGGCCUGAGAGGGUGACCGGCCACACUGGGACUGAGAUACGGCACAGACUCCUACGGGAGGCAGCAGUGGGGAAUAUUGCACAAUGGGCGCAAGCCUGAUGCAGCGACGCCGCGUGAGGGAUGACGGCCUUCGGGUUGUAAACCUCUUUCAGCACAGACGAAGCGCAAGUGACGGUAUGUGCAGAAGAAGGACCGGCCAACUACGUGCCAGCCGCCGCGGUAA
rnacentral:rRNA from 1 species